rnacentral:rRNA from 1 species
UUAAAGAAAGCGUAAUAGCUCACUGGUCGAGUCGGCCUGCGCGGAAGAUGUAACGGGGCUAAGUAGUAAACCGAAGCUGCGGCAAUAUACUUUUGUAUAUUGGGUAGGGGAGCGUUCUGUAAGCGGUUGAAGGUGUGUGGUAACGCAUGCUGGACGUAUCAGAAGUGCGAAUGCUGACAUGAGUAACGAUAAAGGGGGUGAAAAACCUCCUCGCCGGAAGACCAAGGGUUCCUGUCCAACGUUAAUCGGGGCAGGGUAAGUCGACCCCUAAGGCGAGGCCGAAAGGCGUAGUCGAUGGGAAACGGGUUAAUAUUCCCGUACUUCUUACAAUUGCGAUGGGGGGACGGAGAAGGCUAGGUGGGCCUGGCGACGGUUGUCCAGGUUCAAGUGCGUAGGCUUAAGAGUUAGGUAAAUCCGGCUCUUUUUAAGGCUGAGACACGACGUCGAGCCACUACGGUGGUGAAGUCAUUGAUGCCAUGCUUCCAGGAAAAGCCUCUAAGCUUCAGAUUGUAAGGAAUCGUACCCCAAACCGACACAGGUGGUCGGGUAGAGAAUACCAAGGCGCUUGAGAGAACUCGGGUGAAGGAACU